UACGUAGGGGGCUAGCGUUGUCCGGAUUUAUUGGGCGUAAAGAGCGUGUAGGCGGCCAGAUAGGUCUGCUGUGAAAACUCGAGGCUCAACCUCGAGAUGUCGGCGGAAACCAUUUAGCUAGAGUCCGGAAGAGGAAAGUGGAAUUCCUGGUGUAGCGGUGAAAUGCGCAGAUAUCAGGAAGAACACCCGUGGCGAAGGCGGCUUUCUGGGACGGUACUGACGCUGAGGAGCGAAAGCGUGGGGAGCGAACAGG
rnacentral:rRNA from 1 species